rnacentral:lncRNA from 1 species
AUGGCCGUUUCCAAGGUGCAAUGCCGUUUGGUGUUCUCUUGCUGGGGAUGUCAUACAUACAUGCAUGUACCUAACUGGGUGACCGCACAGAACUAUCUGUGGGUGGUCUCAUAUCAGUGUUUCUCUUGGGGUCUGGCGUCUACCUCCCCCUGGGGCUUGCAACCAAUCCCAUCGUAUCUGUAUCUGGGAGGAGGGGGGGGGGGGUUGUUUACGCCUCAGUCACAGUCACGGGGCCAGGUCUGUCUCGCUCCCGCUCCCCGCGGGGACAGAGCGCUCGCGGCGAGUCAGCGUGGGGCCCGCACGUGGGCCUGCCUGUCUGCGUGUCCUGCGGGGAGAGACGAGACGACGGGGCGUCCGAGCUGUCACCCCGUCCUGAUCCGCUCCCUUUCCCACUCGGCUCCAGCCCCUCGCAAUCUCAUCCACCCCCCUUGUACGGCCAGGCUGGCCACUGCCCCUGUAAUUACGCUCUUGGGGCCGGACGCGGCGGCCGAGUCCGGAGCUGAGGAGGGGGUGGAGAGGGGCCAGGACCCUAUUCCUAGUAGGGGCCGGAGGUGCAGGAACCGGGAUCCAGAAACUGAAGCUGAGUCGGACCCUAAACUGCCCACGCCCACUCCUCGUGACACAGAACACCCCCACCCCCAUGCACACUCCACCCCACGCCUUUCUCUUUUCUUGGGCGCCAGCUCCGCCUUCUUGUUUACCUCGUGGCGAGUCUGGGGCAGCGACCCUGCCGGUCCAGGUUCCGGGGCCAAAGUCUCCUUGAGCGAUGCGGGCUCUUGGUCCGUGGGGCUGAGCACGCACGCGGCAGGGCCAAGUGGACUCAGAGAACCUACCACUGAUAGAGGAGUCAUUCCUUCAUCAGGAGAAAUGAUCAGUUCAUUGUCUCCUGCCCCUCCCCUGCAGAUGAAGUUUCACUAGAGGAAAAGAUCAAGAUGUUGAGAGAAUUUGAAACUUCAAUAAAUAUAAGGAUUUGUUAAAGUUUAGCCUGGAGAAGAAAAGACAGGUGAGAUAUGAUAGCUGACUUCAAGUAUUCAAAGAGCUGUCAAAUGGAAUUGGAAUUAGAUGUAUUUUUUAUCUGUCUCAGCAAGGGG